GAUGAACGCUGGCGGCGUGCCUAAUACAUGCAAGUCGAGCGAACAGACGAGGAGCUUGCUCCUCUGACGUUAGCGGCGGACGGGUGAGUAACACGUGGAUAACCUACCUAUAAGACUGGGAUAACUUCGGGAAACCGGAGCUAAUACCGGAUAAUAUAUUGAACCGCAUGGUUCAAUAGUGAAAGACGGUUUUGCUGUCACUUAUAGAUGGAUCCGCGCCGCAUUAGCUAGUUGGUAAGGUAACAGCUUACCAAGGCAACGAUGCGUAGCCGACCUGUGAGGGUGAUCGGCCACACUGGAACUGAGACACGGUCCAGACUCCUACGGGAGGCAGCAGUAGGGAAUCUUCCGCAAUGGGCGAAAGCCUGACGGAGCAACGCCGCGUGAGUGAUGAAGGUCUUCGGAUCGUAAAACUCUGUUAUUAGGGAAGAACAAAUGUGUAAGUAACUAUGCACGUCUUGACGGUACCUAAUCAGAAAGCCACGGCUAACUACGUG
rnacentral:rRNA from 1 species